GCAUGUGGUUUAAUUCGAAGCAACGCGAAGAACCUUACCAAGUCUUGACAUCCUUCUGACCGGACAGUAAUGUGUCCUUUCCUUCGGGACAGAAGAGACAGGUGGUGCAUGGUUGUCGUCAGCUCGUGUCGUGAGAUGUUGGGUUAAGUCCCGCAACGAGCGCAACCCUUAUCCCCAGUAGCCAGCGGUUCGGUCGGGCACUCUGAGGAGACUGCCAGGGAUAACCUGGAGGAAGGUGGGGAUGACGUCAAAUCAUCAUGCCCCUUAUGACUUGGGCUACACACGUGCUACAAUGGCGU
rnacentral:rRNA from 1 species